GGUGGUUCUUGGGUGAUGAACCCCGGCAUCGGGCUCCCUCCUCUCUGGUUCUGGGGCGUGUCACCCGAGAACUGCC
rfam:Myotis lucifugus cont2.42990, whole genome shotgun sequence.